UACAGAGGUCUCAAGCGUUGUUCGGAUUCAUUGGGCGUAAAGGGUGCGUAGGCGGCGCGGUAAGUCGGGUGUGAAAUCUCGGAGCUUAACUCCGAAACUGCAUUCGAUACUGCUGUGCUUGAGGACUGGAGAGGAGACUGGAAUUUACGGUGUAGCGGUGAAAUGCGUAGAUAUCGUAAGGAGGACCAGUGGCGAAGGCGGGUCUCUGGACAGUUCCUGACGCUGAGGCACGAAGGUCAGGGGAGCAAACGGG
rnacentral:rRNA from 1 species